ACAUGGCAGGAAUCCCGAAGAGAUUGGGAGUGCUCGAAGAGAACCUGCACACAGGUGCUGCAUGGCUGUCGUCAGCUCGUGUCGUGAGAUGUUGGGUUAAGUCCCGCAACGAGCGCAACCCUUGCCAUUAGUUGCUACGAAGGGCACUCUAAUGGGACUGCCGGUGACAAACCGGAGGAAGGUGGGGAUGACGUCAAGUCCUCAUGGCCCUUAUAGGUGGGGCUACACACGUCAUACAAUGGCCGGUACAGAGGGUAGCCAACCCGCGAGGGGGAGCCAAUCCCACAAAGCCGGUCGUAGUCCGGAUCGCAGUCUGCAACUCGACUGCGUGAAGUCGGAAUCGCUAGUAAUCGUGGAUCAGCAUGUCACGGUGAAUACGUUCCCGGGUCCU
rnacentral:rRNA from 1 species